AUCUUUUUCAAUGAUUCAAUCAUAUAUAUAUAUAUGAAUAUAAAUAGAAACAAGAAACAAGAUAGAAACAAGAAAUGCAACGUGUAAACAUUUUGCUUAUCAAUAUUGUAAUUUAAUGUGUGAGAGAGAGAGAGAGAGAGAGAGAAGAAAAACAAAAAAAAAGUCCUGCUCGACUCCAUCGAUCGUAACUGCGAAUGUCGAACGAUCGAAAUAUCCUCGUUUCACCCCUCUUCGCGAUUUCGAUGGAGGGUACGAGAUAUUUUUAAGAGACAUUUAUUUUAGGAUACUUAAUUUUUUUUUUUUUCUUAGAAAAGUUUAUGUAGAAAAUUUUUGUUUCGUCAUUUUCAAUCGUCCAUAUCUUCGGAUUAAUUUUUGGUAAUAAUUUUGUGGUAAUAAUCUUUUUCAUAUCUGUUAUCUAUUUUUUAUUGCGAUGUGAAAAAAAGUAUUAACGAACAGUGUUUACUUUAUCGUUGAUGGGCUUUACGAUGCAAAAUUACAGGGAGGAAAAACAUUGUUAAUGAUACUUUUAGAGAUAGUUUCGUAAGGUAUAAUUAAUCGAGGGAUAAAAAUAAAGAGAGGGGGGAGGGGGGGAGGGAAACUUUCUACACUUUUAGAGCACGAAAUAAAUAAAUCUGACUAUCCAUGGAUAAUUGAAUAAUUGAAUAUAGAAAAUAGCGGGUUCGUUUCUAUUAUCUAUUUUUUGUUUGAUGUUUAAAAAUUAACUAUUGCGUCCUCUAUCGUGAACUUCCCUAUUACGCGUCAGACGGUGAAACACAAUCGUACGUCACAAUGAAAAAUAAUUAGUGGUCGGAUAAAUUUGUCAGAGACAAAUGAAAUUAAACGUUAAGAAUGCAAAUUAUAGAUAUUUCCUUCGCAUUGUCUUAUCAUAUUUACACGACCACUCCCUUCUUCGAUUGUUAGACAGACAAAAAAAAAAAAAAAAAAAAAAAAAGAAGAAGAAAACGAGUAAAUAACAAAAGACCAUUUCAGCUUCGAACACGUUGAAUCAUCAUAAAUCGUCCCAUAAAUUAUGUGUCAUCAUUCGUAUGCAAUCCAGAAGGAACAAUUAUCAAAUCUUUUCUAAUUAUUUGGAAUAAUUAAUAACUUUCAAAUUUCCAAACAAUGCACCCUAAUUUAUUCUUUACGCGUAUUUUAUCCUCGGUUAGAAAAAAGUGAAUUAUCCAUUUCGAGACGAGCAAUUCGUAACAAAGUAACUUUCCUACGUAACUUUCCUAUCCUUUCCUAUCGUUUAAAUAACAAUUUCCCGUUUAAAUAAUUUUAUUUGAAUAAAAAAUAUCGUGUAAUUCUACAAAAAAGAAAAAAAAAAAUAUUAAACGCUUCCACACUUAACGCAAUAUUUUCAAGGAAGUAGCGAAAGACGCGUUAAACGUUAACGAUAAAAUGUUUCUAUUAAAAGAAGAAUAUUUUAAUGAAAAGAAGAAACUUUACAAUGUCUUUUAUGUCUUUACUAAAAGUGAUGAGGAUAAAUUGUGAAACAAUGACGAUACCUUUACACUCCCAUCGAUCGACAAUAUCACUGGAACGAAGCUAAAA
rnacentral:lncRNA from 1 species